AUUGAACGCUGGCGGCAUGCCUUACACAUGCAAGUCGAACGGUAACGGGCCUUCGGGUGCCGACGAGUGGCGAACGGGUGAGUAAUGCAUCGGAACGUACCUUUCAGUGGGGGGAUAACGUAGCGAAAGUUACGCUAAUACCGCAUAUUCUGUGAGCAGGAAAGCAGGGGAUCGCAAGACCUUGCGCUGAUUGAGCGGCCGAUGUCGGAUUAGCUAGUUGGUGAGGUAAAGGCUCACCAAGGCGACGAUCUGUAGCGGGUCUGAGAGGAUGAUCCGCCACACUGGAACUGAGACACGGUCCAGACUCCUACGGGAGGCAGCAGUGGGGAAUUUUGGACAAUGGGGGGCAACCCUGAUCCAGCCAUGCCGCGUGAGUGAAGAAGGCC
rnacentral:rRNA from 1 species